UGCUUGCUCUUUCUGUGAUGAAGGCAAGUGUGUCCCUGGAGAGGCCACUGAAUCUAGAACUGCUUUUAGGGAGUUGUGAAUGGCACAGGCCUCUCAGAGAAGCUGAGGACACUGUCACAGUGAGGCAGUCAAGACCCAGGGCCUCCGUGACACAGGCCCAACUCUGUAUCUGUGGGGGGAUGGAAUCUGGUAAAAAUGUUCCUGAGUUGCUCUUGGAUGUCUACUUAGCAUCUUCCUAGGAUCUUGACACCUGUGACAGUUAAUAUUUUAAAACUCAUUUGAUCAUAUUUUGUA
ensembl:misc_RNA